CUACCUAGUAGUAUAGGAUAGCCACUAGAAGUGGUGGGUAAUACUGUAUAAUCCCUGCGGGGGAAAGAUUUAUCGCUACAUGAUGAGCCUAUGUUAGAUUAGCUAGUUGGUGGGGUAAUGGCCUACCAAGGCAGUGAUCUAUAGCUGGUCUGAGAGGAUGAUCAGCCACACUGGAACUGAGACACGGUCCAGACUCCUACGGGAGGCAGCAGUGGGGAAUAUUGGACAAUGGGCGCAAGCCUGAUCCAGCUAUGCCGCGUGAGUGAGGAAGGCCUUAGGGUUGUAAAACUCUUUCAGUGGGGAAGAUAAUGACGGUACCCACAGAAGAAGUCCCGGCAAACUCCGUGCCAGCAGCCGCGGUAAUACGGAGGGGGCAAGCGUUGUUCGGAAUUAUUGGGCGUAAAGGGCAUGUAGGUGGUUUGGUAAGUUAAAGGUGAAAUGCCAGGGCUUAACCCUGGAGCUGCUUUUAA
rnacentral:rRNA from 1 species